rnacentral:misc_RNA from 1 species
GAUGAAGAACGUAGCGAAAUGCGAUACUUGGUGUGAAUUGCAGAAUCCCGUGAACCAUCGAGUCUUUGAACGCAAGUUGCGCCCGAAGCCAUUAGGCCGAGGGCACGCCUGCCUGGGCGUCACACGUCGUUGCCCCCCCAUCUACUCCUUCGGGAUUGCGGGGGGCGGAUGAUGGCCUCUCGUGCGCCUCGUCGCGCGGUUGGCCUAAAUGCCAAGUCCUCGGCGACGCACGCCACGACAAUCGGUGGUUGCGAAACCUCGGUUGCCUGUCGUGUGCGGUCGUCGCGCAUCGAGGGCUCGAAAAAAUUGCCGGGCUUCGGCUCGACUUUCAACGCGACCCCAGGUCAGGCGGGGUUACCCGCUGAAUUUAAGCAUAUCAAUAAGCGAGGA